GCCGCGGUGGUGGAAUGGCAUACACGGGGGACUUAAAAUCCCCUGGCCGAAAGGCCAUGUGGGUUCGACUCCCACCCGCGGCA
rnacentral:tRNA from 1 species